rnacentral:rRNA from 1 species
GAUGAACGCUAGCGGCAGGCUUAAUACAUGCAAGUCGAGGGACAGCACAGGUAGCAAUACUGGGUGGUAACCGGCAAACGGGUGCGGAACACGUACACAACCUUCCUUUAAGUGGGGGAUAGCCCAGAGAAGUUUGGAUUAAUACCCCGUAAUAUAGUUGAAUGGCAUCAUUUGAUUAUUAUAGCUACGGCGCUUAAUGAUGGGUGUUCGGCUGAUUAGAUAGUUGGCGGGGUAACGGCCCAACAAGUCUACGAUCAGUAGCUGAUGUGAGAGAAUGAUCAGCCACACGGGCACUGGGAAACGUGCCCGACUCCUACGGGAGGCAGCAGUAAGGAAUAUUGGUCAAUGGACGCAAGUUUGAACCAGCCAUGCCGCGUGAAGGAUUAAGGUCCUCUGGAUUGUAAACUUCUUUUAUUUGGGACGAAAAAGGGCCUUUCUAGGUCAACUGACGGUACCAGAUGAAUAGGCACCGGCUAACUCCGUGCCAGCCGCCGCAGUAACAC